AAAUAAAGUGACUACUCAUGGACCCAAGCACACCACAGAUUGGUAUGGGAACAUUGACCUACUCAAAUUCUAAACUAGGAUUAGCUUGACAACUAUGCCCAGACAAUCCAAUCAUCUACUCUUCAUCUCCCUGGGACUCACCACAUUGAUGCUAUCUGUUCUGAGUGAAGUCACGUGAUCAACAUAGUCUACUGCAUCUCAGAACUCUCAAGCUGCAGAGAUGCACCAACCUCAGCUUCCCUAUCAGAAGGGAUUACAAAUAUGAGAAAACUGAAGGCAAGAAGUUGACCGUCUCAUACAAAGUCACACAGAGUUAAUGACUGUACAAAGGACUCUUACGCCCAGUCAGGGCAAAGCAGACCUGCAGUUCUGAGAAGUCAGGAAAGAUAAUAAAAAGAGUGCACAAAAAACAAACAAACAAACAAACCCCCAAACUACAAGCAACGACAUCUCAGACAUUGAGACUGAAGGUAAUGUCCAGUGUUUCUUUCUCUGUUGUAAUAUUCCUUAUAGCUCUAAAAUUCUAUGUUCUAAGGUCCCUUCUAG